rnacentral:rRNA from 1 species
UACAGAGGGUGCGAGCGUUAAUCGGAAUUACUGGGCGUAAAGGGUGCGUAGGUGGUUAUGUAAGUUAGAUGUGAAAUUCCCGGGCUUAACCUGGGGACUGCGUCUGAUACUGCAUAGCUCGAGUCCUGUAGAGGAAAGUGGAAUUUCCGGUGUAGCAGUGAAAUGCGUAGAUAUCGGAAGGAACAUCAGUGGCGAAGGCGACUUUCUGGACAGAGACUGACACUGAGGCACGAAAGCGUGGGGAGCAAAC